UGGGGACAAAUUAGGACAGGGACAUCCGGCCGACCACCCACGGCUGCGCCACGACACGCCACGGCUGCCGGCACCGUCCUAACGAGACCGGCCCCGUACACCCCCCCCCGGUAAUUAAUGCUUGGACGAGCUCCACGGAUAACGACACAGCGGGCACCCGGGGAUCCCAGCUCCAUCCCAGGGAUCCCAGCUCCAUCCCAGAGAUCCCAGCUCCACCCCGAGGAUCCCAGCUCCAUCCCAGAGAUCCCAGCUCCAUCCUGAGGAUCCCAGCUCCAUCCUGAGGAUCCCAGCUCCAUCCCAAGGAUCCCAGCUCCAUCCCGAGGAUCCAGCUCCACCCCGAGGAUCCCAGCUCCAUCCCAGAGAUCCCAGCUCCAUCUGGGCGAUCCCAGCUCCAUCCCAAGGAUCCCAGCUCCAUCCCGAGGAUCCCAGCUCCAUCCCAGAGAUCCCAGCUCCAUCCCAAGGAUCCAGCUCCAUCCCAGAGAUCCCAGCUCCAUCCUGAGGAUCCCAGCUCCAUCCCAAGGAUCCCAGCUCUGUCCUGAGGAUCCAGCUCCACCCCAGCUCCAUCCCGAGGAUCCCAGCUCCAUCCCAGAGAUCCCAGCUCCAUCCCGAGGAUCCCAGCUCCAUCCCGAGGAUCCCAGCUCCAUCCCAAGGAUCCCAGCUCCAUCCUGAGGAUCCCAGCUCCAUCCCAAGGAUCCAGCUCCAUCCCAAGGAUCCCAGCUCCAUCCCAAGGAUCCCAGCUCCAUCCUGAGGAUCCAGCUCCAUCCCAAGGAUCCCAGCUCCAUCCCAAGGAUCCCAGCUCCACCCCGAGGAUCCAGCUCCAUCCUGAGGAUCCAGCUCCACCCCGAGGAUCCCAGCUCCACCCCGAGGAUCCCAGCUCCAUCCCGAGGAUCCCAGCUCCACCCUGAUGAUCCCAAACACUGUGUUCCCCCCCCGAGGUCUCCCCCCAGCCUCCACCGCUCUUUGGCCUCCCGAUUUUUGCCAAUUUGAACAAAAAACGUUUCCAACCCUCCCAGGGAAGGUG
rnacentral:lncRNA from 1 species